UUUAAGUGGUGACCAAAUUAAUCUAUAAAUUCUGUUUGAUUAAUUUUUAAUUAUCAGUAAAUUGGUAUCUAAGCUAAGAGUAAUUUGCCUCUUGUAUAUAAGUUGUCUUUCCUCCAAACACUAAUUCCAUUCGUCGAUCUAGGAUCCAGAUUUGAUCCUGACAUUUGGAUAAAAGCUCGCUGAACCACUUCCAUCAAUUUACAGUGAACAAUAAGUCAACUACAUGAAAUUGUUACACUUCAUCUGGAAAUUGUUUUAUUCCAGAUUCUGUACUUCCCUGAUUUUUUUCAAGAAAGGCUUAAUCUAGGUUGUUGAAUCCAUUGUUGUUGUUAUAGCUGGCUCAUUAUUGAUAUAGGCUACCCAUGAUAAAUGUUGGAAUAGCUCUACUGUUACCUCAGCAGAAAAAAUACAAAACAAAGGAAGACCUCAUCAUAGGUAUGGGCAUGUCUAUGAUGACUAUUGAAAUAUCUUGCUCCUUAGUAUCCAGUAGAAUAGAAAGUGGCAUAAAAUUAGAAAAAAAAGAUAUUGAAGGAUUUUUGAAAGGCUUUCAAUAUCCUGAAUGCAGCAUAAGUUAUAGGAAAUUCAUGUACAGAUGCUGCUGACAAAGCAAUAAAGGACAUCUGAAAUUUGCUCUUUUCUUUACAGCUUAUUCAAAUACCACUCCAAAAGUAGAGCUUGUUGCAUAGAUAUAGAAGCUUCUUAUGGUAGCAAACUUGAUUUGGAA
rnacentral:lncRNA from 1 species